GUGGCUGCUGGUUGGGUGCUUUCUACUGGUGCUGUGCAGAUGCUUUCCCUGAGGCUGCUGUGAGCCUAUAGGGUUUCCCCCUAGGCUAUGGAGCUUG
rnacentral:pre_miRNA from 1 species